GGAUUAGAUACCCUGGUAGUCCAUGCUGUAAACGAUGUGUGCUAGACGUUGGAAAUUUUAUUUUCAGUGUCGCAGCAAAAGCGUUAAGCACACCGCCUGGGGAGUACGACCGCAAGGUUAAAACUCAAAUGAAUUGACGGGGACCCGCACAAGCAGUGGAGCAUGUGGUUUAAUUCGAAGAUACGCGCAGAACCUUACCAACUCUUGACAUGUCCGUCGCGACUCGUAGAGAUAUGAGUCUUCGGUUCGGCCGGACGGAACACAGGUGCUGCAUGGCUGUCGUCAGCUCGUGCCG
rnacentral:rRNA from 1 species